UAGCUUGCUAGAAGAUGACGAGUGGCGGACGGGUGAGUAAUGCUUGGGAACUUGCCUUUGCGAGGGGGAUAACAGUUGGAAACGACUGCUAAUACCGCAUAAUGUCUUCGGACCAAACGGGGCUUCGGCUCCGGCGCAAAGAGAGGCCCAAGUGAGAUUAGCUAGUUGGUAAGGUAACGGCUUACCAAGGCGACGAUCUCUAGCUGUUCUGAGAGGAAGAUCAGCCACACUGGGACUGAGACACGGCCCAGACUCCUACGGGAGGCAGCAGUGGGGAAUAUUGCACAAUGGGGGAAACCCUGAUGCAGCCAUGCCGCGUGUGUGAAGAAGGCCUUCGGGUUGUAAAGCACUUUCAGUUGUGAGGAAAAGUUAGUAGUUAAUACCUGCUAGCCGUGACGUUAACAACAGAAGAAGCACCGGCUAACUCCGUGCCAGCAGCCGCGGUAAUACGGAGGGUGCGAGCGUUAAUCGGAAUUACUGGGCGUAAAGCGCACGCAGGCGGUUUGUUAAGCUAGAUGUGAAAGCCCCGGGCUCAACCUGGGAUGGUCAUUUAGAACUGGCAGACUAGAGUCUUGGAGAGGGGAGUGGAAUUCCAGGUGUAGCGGUGAAAUGCGUAGAUAUCUGGAGGAACAUCAGUGGCGAAGGCGACUCCCUGGCCAAAGACUGACGCUCAUGUGCGAAAGUGUGGGUAGCGAACAGGAUUAGAUACCCUGGUAGUCCACACCGUAAACGCUGUCUACUAGCUGUGUGUGUCUUUAAGACGUGCGUAGCGAAGCUAACGCGCUAAGUAGACCGCCUGGGGGAGUACGGCCGCAAGGUUAAAACUCAAAUGAAUUGACGGGGGCCCGCACAAGCGGUGGAGCAUGUGGUUUAAUUCGAUGCAACGCGAAGAACCUUACCUACACUUGACAUGCUGAGAA
rnacentral:rRNA from 1 species